rnacentral:rRNA from 1 species
AGCGAACGCUGGCGGCAGGCUUAACACAUGCAAGUCGAGCGGGCAUCUUCGGGUGUCAGCGGCGGACGGGUGAGUAACGCGUGGGAACGUGCCCUCUGGUUCGGAAUAACUCAGGGAAACUUGAGCUAAUACCGGAUACGCCCUUUUGGGGAAAGGUUUACUGCCGGAAGAUCGGCCCGCGUCUGAUUAGCUAGUUGGUGGGGUAACGGCCUACCAAGGCGACGAUCAGUAGCUGGUCUGAGAGGAUGAUCAGCCACACUGGGACUGAGACACGGCCCAGACUCCUACGGGAGGCAGCAGUGGGGAAUAUUGGACAAUGGGGGCAACCCUGAUCCAGCCAUGCCGCGUGAGUGAUGAAGGCCUUAGGGUUGUAAAGCUCUUUUAUCCGGGACGAUAAUGACGGUACCGGAGGAAUAAGCCCCGGCUAACUUCGUGCCAGCAGCCGCGGUAA